GAUGAACGCUAGCGGCAGGCCUAACACAUGCAAGUCGAGGGGCAGCACAUAAAGUGGUUUACUACUUUUGGUGGCGACCGGCGGACGGGCGCGUAACGCGUAUGCAACCUGCCUCCAACAGGGGGAUAACGGAGAGAAAUUUCCACUAAUACCCCAUAUAUCAGAAUCGGCAUCGGUUUUGGUUGAAAACUCCGGUGGUUGGAGAUGGGCAUGCGUCGUAUUAGAUAGUUGGUGAGGUAACGGCUCACCAAGUCAACGAUACAUAGGGGGACUGAGAGGUUAGCCCCCCACACUGGUACUGAGACACGGACCAGACUCCUACGGGAGGCAGCAGUGAGGAAUAUUGGUCAAUGGGGGCAACCCUGAACCAGCCAUGCCGCGUGCAGGAAGACGGCUCUAUGAGUUGUAAACUGCUUUUACAAGGGGAUAAAUCGGUGUACGUGUACACCGUUGAAGGUACCUUGGGAAUAAGGAUCGGCUAUCUCCGAGCCAGCCGCCGCAGUAA
rnacentral:rRNA from 1 species